AACGAACGCUGGCGGCAGGCCUAACACAUGCGAGUCGAGCGAGGACUUCGGUCCUAGCGGCGGACGGGUGAGUAACGCGUGGGAACGUUCCCUUUGCUUCGGGAUAGCCCUGGGAAACUGGGACUAAUACCGGAUAAGCCCCUUGGGGGCAAGGUUUAUCGGCGAAGGACCGUCCCGCGUUGGAUUAGGUAGUGAGUGAGGUAAUGGCCUACCAAGCCGACGAUCCAUAGCUGGCUUGUGAGGAUGAUCAGCCACACUGGGACUGGGAAGCGGCAGAGAAUCCUACGCGAGGGAGCAGUGGGGGAUGUUAGACAAUGGGGGAAACCAUGAUCUAGCCAGGACGGGUGAGCGAUGAAGGCCGUAGGGUUGGAAAGCUCUUGCAGCUGGGAAGAUAAUGACGGUACCAGCAGAAGAAGCCCCGGCUAACUCCGUG
rnacentral:rRNA from 1 species